ensembl:lncRNA
AGGAGAUCAAGGAGACGGAAGGCCAACCCAUCAAACCAGAAUCUGCCUUGUGUGACUGGAAGGAAGGUAAGGAACAAAAGAAGCAAGUGUCUGGAGAAGACGGUUUCAGAUACAGAAAGCAGCAGACGCAAAUCUCUGAGCAGGACCUUGUUCAUGGAUGCCAGAACAUGCUAGAGUCUCCAGUAGCUGGAGAAGAGCCUGUGGGCCCACUGACCUGGGAUAUUCUAAAAUUUGAUGAGGCCCCAGUGGAUGCUUGUACAUCUCAGUUCUAAGUCCUUCUGAUUCUUCUAUAUGAACCACCACCACAGCAUGGCAACUGACAUACGGGCGGGGUGAUUCUGCGACCCGGAAGCAAACCCGAGCUGCUGAGGCAGAGAGCGCUAGAUGUUAACGAUUAGACCAUCAGGACUGGCCCUAGAUUUAUUUUUAUUAUCUAAUUUAGUGGUGCGUAUUUGUUGUGCUUUUUUCCCUUCAUCUAUUUGAUCAAUUAUUUUUCUUGAUUUUGUAUUCUUUAGCUCUGCUGGUUUGGAAUCCCAUACAUUCUGUUUCUCCAAAAUACACUUUCGCUUUCUCUCCAUAUGCCUCCAAUAUAUACAUUAUAUUGAUCUUAAUUACAGUUUUAUAAUUUUUUAUUUUUAAUAUUAGAAAAUUAAUUUUUAUAUUACCCACAUAUAUACAAAUUUACUUCUUCACCACAGAGUCUUGCAUUUUAUUUUUUUUUCCCUCUGGAUUUUAGUUCCAUCUUCAUGAAGAACAUAUUAAAAUAUUUUUUUCAAGAAUAAUUGUGAACAGUAAACUCUCUGUUGUCUCAUGUGUGUUGCACUUGUUACUUCUGCUGCUUAACUGAGUCUUUCUUUUCUUCCUCAGCUUCUCUUCUCUGAUUCUUGUUAGACAUGCAGCCAGGGCUUCACACCCUCAUCUCCUGGUCUCUUAAACAAUCUUCCAUGUUUUCUGCACCCCUGUGCUGUAUUCAUUCAGCACACUUCUCAGUCAUGGCAGCUUGUGUUUUCAGAGAAUUUUAAUAACGCAUUUAAUUUUUGCACACAUUUGGUGGGCUUGCUUUUCUGUGAAAACUUCUUCAACUAUGACCCUCUGGAGAAUCAUUAGUCAAGAACAAAUUUUACUUUAAACAUUUGAUUAUGGGGAGAGAAGCAGAUGUUCUUAUGCAAUGUGAACAAUGGAAAUCCAAACCCCCAAACGCCAUGAAGUCCCUUGUUUUUCAAUGAUCUGGAGACCCAGCGCCUAGGGAGCGAGAAGAUAGAUGAUGGAAGAAAGAUGGAAGAUAGAUCCCUGUGCUAGUAGAGAGUUUCUUGUUUUUGUUUUUCUAGUCUAGCCUGUCAUAAUUUGAGAUUAUUCAACUGCAAUUCAUUGUUUUAUAUAUGUCAAGAAUUUCUUAACUUUGACAGUUUUUUAAACUUGUUUUUAUUAUUUUUAAAAAUGUUAUUAUUGAUGUGAUCUCCCACAUUGCUGGAACUGAAGAUUAUCCUGGUCAAUUUCUCAUAUAAUUACUGCUAAAUCAAUAUUAAUAUACUCUUAAAGUUAAUAAAAAUUAUUAGAACUUUAUCUUAUUCUACAUACAUUCAUACCAAUAUAAGAUUAUACUUUGAAAUACUUUGGGAAUUGAAAAUAUUAUAAAGUUAAUCUGUGUAAUUAAUUCAUAAGAAAGUUUCCUUGUUAUCUGAGAGAUUAAGCUAUGGUCUGUUUUUUAUUAUGAGAAUUUACUGACUAUUUAUUCUUUGUAGAAAUAUAUU